ACAAGCAGUAGGAGCCUCUUUAUGGGGUGACUGCGUACCUUUUGUAUAAUGGGUCAGCGACUUAUAUUCUGUAGCAAGGUUAACCGUAUAGGGGAGCCGUAGGGAAACCGAGUCUUAACUGGGCGAAUGAGUUGCAGGGUAUAGACCCGAAACCCGGUGAUCUAUCCAUGGGCAGGUUGAAGGUUGGGUAACACUAACUGGAGGACCGAACCGACUAAUGUUGAAAAAUUAGCGGAUGACUUGUGGAUGGGGGUGAAAGGCCAAUCAAACCGGGAGAUAGCUGGUUCUCCCCGAAAGCUAUUUAGGUAGCGCCUCGUGAAUUCAUCUUCGGGGGUAGAGCACUGUUUCGACUAGGGGGUCAUCCCGACUUACCAACUCGAUGCAAACUGCGAAUACCGAAGAAUGUUAUCACGGGAGACACACGGCGGGUGCUAACGUCCGUCGUGAAGAGGGAAACAACCCAGACCGCCAGCUAAGGUCCCAAAGUCAUGGUUAAGUGGGAAACGAAGUGGGAAGGCUCAGACAGCCAGGAUGUUGGCUUAGAAGCAGCCAUCAUUUAAAGAAAGCGUAAUAGCUCACUGGUCGAGUCGGCCCGCGCGGAAGAUGUAACGGGGCUAAACCAUGCACCGAAGCUGCGGCAGCGACACA
rnacentral:rRNA from 1 species